UUACGGCCACAUCAUGUUGAAACACCAGUUCCCGGAUGAUCACCAAAGUUAAGCAACGUUGUCCCUGGUCGGUACCAAGAUGGGUGAUAGUUUAGAAAUAUCAGGUGUUGUAUG